AUUUGAAUAGCUUAAGAAGAGCAUAGUAUUGAAGAUACUAGGGUAGUUGUAUACUUUUAAAUA
rnacentral:tRNA from 1 species